GAAGACAUUUCAGCAUGCAAAUACCUCGAGGAGGAGGAAGACAACUUUCCUUUUGGGGUUUUUACUUUCAGCCUUGCAACAAAACUUGUCACAGAAUAGGUGGACAGCCCUGGGAAAAGUCUGCUCUGGAGCGCCAUCCGAAGAAACGCAUGCAUCUACUUCACAACCUCUUGGAAGACGAAUCUGUACAAAACUAAAGGUUUGGAUAAUAAAUCACAACGAGCAAUGGGAAAGAAUAUCAGAUCCCGAGCGGAGCGGAGAAGGGGAAAUCCACUACCUCAUUCCCCUCCAGCAAAACUCACGGAGCGGGGAGACAACUAUCGGUAAAAUGCAAGAGGAGAGAAUUUCAAGAACGAAGCUUAUUUUAAAGAAAAUUUAAGGACAGAACAGGACACUUUGAGGAGUCCUCCUAGGAACUUUGACACAAGCGACUGUAUUUUGGAAGGGGUUGCUGGUUUUUAAAUUGUCAAAUUCUCUGUCUCUACAAAAAAAGCUCAAACUGCCAUCAGGAGAUGAAAUCUGUUCCACAGAGGAGGAGGGAGAGCAGAACUGCAGAAGAAACACAGCUCUGCUCCGAUCACGCAGCUAUAAAAGCUGGAGGAUGUGCGUAUCUCAGAGCUGGGAGGGCAGGAUGCUGCUGCAUGAAAACGCCAGGCUCCUCCUCACCCAGAUCCCGUGUUGGGGUUUUUAGUGGAAGG